rnacentral:tRNA from 1 species
GGGUGCGUAACUCAGUGGAUAGAGUAGCGGACUUCUAAUCCGUUUGUCGCAGGUUCGAAUCCUGCCGCACCCG